rnacentral:sRNA from 1 species
GCUCUGUGGUCUGGUUGUUGUCUCUUUGGCACAUUCCCCAUUUCCAUUCUCAAUUUUAUGCUUUUAUCUGGUUUACUUUUAUAAAUUGUGACUUUGAUGGAGAGUUUAAGAAAGGAAAUGGAGAAUGUGUCAAAGCGACAACAACCCCACCGUAGAG